rnacentral:rRNA from 1 species
AUUGAACGCUGGCGGCAGGCCUAACACAUGCAAGUCGAACGAGUGGCGGCAGGGUGAGUAAUGUCUGGGAAACUGCGUGAUGGAGGGGGACCACUACUGGAAACGGUUGCUAACACCGCAUACCUUCGGAUGUGCCCAGAUGGGCUUAGCUAGUAGGUGGGGUAACGGCUCACCUAGGCGACUAUCCCUAGCGGGUCUGAGAGGAUGACCAGUGACACUGAGACUGAGACACGGUUCAGACUCCUACGGGAGGCGGCAGUGGGGAAUAUGGCACAAUGGGCGCUAGCCUGAUGCAGCCAUGCGGCGUGUAUGAAGAAGGUCUUCGGGUUGUAAAGUCCUUUGAGCGGAGAGCCGUUCCCAGCAGAAGAAGCACCGGAUAACUCCGUGCCAGCAGCCGCGGUAAUAC